rnacentral:rRNA from 1 species
UACGGGGGGGGCAAGCGUUGUUCGGAAUUACUGGGCGUAAAGGGCUCGUAGGCGGCCAACUAAGUCGGACGUGAAAUCCCUCAGCUUAACCGAGGAACUGCGUCCGAUACUGGAUGGCUUGAGGUUGGGAGAGGGAUGCGGAAUUCCAGGUGUAGCGGUGAAAUGCGUAGAUAUCUGGAGGAACACCGGUGGCGAAGGCGGCAUCCUGGACCAAUUCUGACGCUGAGUGAGCGAAAGCCAGGGGAGCAAACGGG